ensembl:rRNA 5S_rRNA 5S ribosomal RNA
GCCGGCAGCUAGCUCUCUGCAACUCUCAUAUGGUUACGCACUGAAGCUAAUCAAGGAUGCGCCCGGUCAGUACCUGCAUAGGAGACCACAUGGGAAAGCUUGGUUGCUGCCGGAA